AGAGUUUGAUCCUGGCUCAGGAUGAACGCUAGCGGCAGGCCUAACACAUGCAAGUCGAGGGGCAGCGAAUCUAGCUUGCUAGAUGUCGGCGACCGGCGCACGGGUGCGCACCGCGUAUGGAACCUACCUUUUACAGGGGAAUAGCCCAGGGAAACUUGGAUUAAUGCCCCGUAGUACCCCCUGUAGCAUUGCAGGGCGGUUAAAGGCUUCGGCCGGUAUAAGAUGGCCAUGCGUCCCAUUAGCUGGUUGGUGAGGUAACGGCUCACCAAAGCUACGAUGGGUAGGGGCCCUGAGAGGGGGAUCCCCCACACUGGUACUGAGACACGGACCAGACUCCUACGGGAGGCAGCAGUGAGGAAUAUUGGACAAUGGAGGAGACUCUGAUCCAGCCAUGCCGCGUGCAGGAAGAAUGCCCUAUGGGUAGUAAACUGCUUUUAUACGGGAAGAAAGAGGGCUACGUGUAGCCUGUUGACGGUACCGUAAGAAUAAGGACCGGCUAACUCCGUGCCAGCAGCCGCGGUAAUACGGAGGGUCCGAGCGUUAUCCGGAAUUAUUGGGUUUAAAGGGUCCGUAGGCGGGCAGCUAAGUCAGUGGUGAAAGUUUGCAGCUCAACUGUAAAAUUGCCUUUGAUACUGGUUGUCUUGAGUUAUGGUGAAGUUGCCGGAAUAUGUAGUGUAGCGGUGAAAUGCAUAGAUAUUACAUAGAACACCGAUUGCGAAGGCAGGUGACUAACCGUAUACUGACGCUGAUGGACGAAAGCGUGGGGAGCGAACAGGAUUAGAUACCCUGGUAGUCCACGCCGUAAACGAUGGAUACUAGCUGUCCGGUCCCUUGAGGUCUGGGCGGCCAAGCGAAAGUGAUAAGUAUCCCACCUGGGGAGUACGUUCGCAAGAAUGAAACUCAAAGGAAUUGACGGGGGCCCGCACAAGCGGUGGAGCAUGUGGUUUAAUUCGAUGAUACGCGAGGAACCUUACCAGGGCUUAAAUGCAUAUUGACAGGGCCAGAGAUGGCUUUUUCCUUCGGGCAAUUUGCAAGGUGCUGCAUGGUUGUCGUCAGCUCGUGCCGUGAGGUGUCAGGUUAAGUCCUAUAACGAGCGCAACCCCUGCCGUUAGUUGCCAGCAUGUAAAGAUGGGGACUCUAACGGGACUGCCGGUGCAAACCGCGAGGAAGGUGGGGAUGACGUCAAAUCAUCACGGCCCUUACGUCCUGGGCCACACACGUGCUACAAUGGCCGGUACAGAGAGCAGCCAUGCCGCAAGGCAGAGCGAAUCUAUAAAACCGGUCACAGUUCGGAUCGGGGUCUGCAACUCGACCCCGUGAAGCUGGAAUCGCUAGUAAUCGGAUAUCAGCCAUGAUCCGGUGAAUACGUUCCCGGGCCUUGUACACACCGCCCGUCAAGCCAUGGAAGCCGGGAGUGCCUGAAGUCCGUCACCGCAAGGAGCGGCCUAGGGCAAGAUCGGUAACUAGGGCUAAGUCGGAACAAGGUA
rnacentral:rRNA from 1 species